GAUGAACGCUGGCGGCGUGCCUAAUACAUGCAAGUCGAGCGAACAGACGAGGAGCUUGCUCCUCUGACGUUAGCGGCGGACGGGUGAGUAACACGUGGAUAACCUACCUAUAAGACUGGGAUAACUUCGGGAAACCGGAGCUAAUACCGGAUAAUAUAUUGAACCGCAUGGUUCAAUAGUGAAAGACGGUUUUGCUGUCACUUAUAGAUGGAUCCGCGCCGCAUUAGCUAGUUGGUAAGGUAACGGCUUACCAAGGCAACGAUGCGUAGCCGACCUGAGAGGGUGAUCGGCCACACUGGAACUGAGACACGGUCCAGACUCCUACGGGAGGUAGCAGUAGGGAAUCUUCCGCAAUGGGCGAAAGCCUGACGGAGCAACGCCGCGUGAGUGAUGAAGGUCUUCGGAUCGUAAAACUCUGUUAUUAGGGAAGAACAAAUGCGUAAGUAACUAUGCACGUCUUGACGGUACCUAAUCAGAAAGCCACGGCUAACUACGUG
rnacentral:rRNA from 1 species